rnacentral:rRNA from 1 species
UACGUAGGUGGCGAACGUUAUCCGGAAUUAUUGGGCGUAAAGGGUGCGUAGGCGGCAUGAUAAGUUAUUGGCGGCAAAUCGAGGCUCAACCUCGUGGAAACUAAUAAUACUGUCUUGCUUGAGUGCAGAAGAGGUUAACGGAACUCCAUGUGGAGCGGUAAAAUGUGUAGAUAUAUGGAAGAACAUCAUUAACGGCGAAGGCAGUUAACUAUUCUGUUACUGACGUUGAGGCACGAAAGCGUGGGGAGCAAAAAGG